GUAUUGGACUGAUUAUCAGCUACUUACAGAAACAGAAAAGGGGACUGAAAAUCCCCGUGUCGGCGGUUCAAUUCCGUCCCUGGCCA
rnacentral:tRNA from 1 species